AAAAAGCAGGCGUGUCCAGGAGGCUGUGGGGUAUUAAUGCAGAGGGAACCCUCAGUUUAGCAUCACACCAGCUGCUUCCUCUGAAGCCCUAAAAACUGCUCCUCUACACUUCACCAGACUCCUCUUCCAACUCUGCAGCUCCUUAUGGCGGUUCUGUGGGUACAUGCAGUCUCUGUGCUGGUCUUACUGGUAACUUCAUGUGAGGGCCAACCCGCUGCAGGACAGCGCCUAUGUGGCUCUGACCUGGUUGAUGCUCUUACCUUCAUGUGUGGACCCAAUGGUUUUUCCAACGGCAAUCGGCAAGGUAUCUCUCCUCUAAAGCCAGACAGAACAGCACCAGGUGACCCGAUGGCGUUGCCGUUAGAGGCGUUGCGGCGGUGCUGUCUUAAUUCCUGCAACAUCUUUGACCUUACGGAUUUCUGUUUGCCUUCUUAGCUUAGUUUAGCUUAGCUUAGCUUAGCUGCCUACUGGCCAACUAAUUGUGCAGCCUCUCCCAUGACUGUGCUGUGAUCUCUCUCUCUAAGCAAGCUGAUUGUAAUCCUAAAGUUAACCCAUAAACAGCAUUAUUUUUACUGGAAAAUAAAGUUCUAUUAAAUGAAAAACAUUUUUUAAAAUGA